rnacentral:misc_RNA from 1 species
GAAAUGCGAUACGUAAUGUGAAUUGCAUAAUUCCGUGAAUCAUCGAAUCUUUGAACGCACAUUGCGCCCCAUGGUAUUCUGUGGGGCAUGCCUGUUUGAGCGUCAUUUCCUUCUCAACAAGCGAUUGUUGGUUGUGAGCGGUAGCGGCAGCGCUGGACGGCGGCACGAGAGUGCGGCAGUCUGGGAGGCAGCCGGUUAGCUUGAAAGUGAAGGAGGCGAGGCAGCACGUCUGAGACGGAAGCUUUGCGAACGAGUUAGGUUGUACCAAGUUGUUUGCGAGGGCUUGCGGGGAGGAGAGGAGCUGGCGCGCCGGCGGUCUUUGAGACUGCGCAAAAGGGACACGAGUUUGACCUCAAAUCAGGUAGGAGUACCCGCUGAACUUAA